GACGAACGCUGGCGGCGUGCUUAACACAUGCAAGUCGAACGGAAAGGCCCUGCUUUUGUGGGGUGCUCGAGUGGCGAACGGGUGAGUAACACGUGAGUAACCUGCCCUUGACUUUGGGAUAACUUCAGGAAACUGGGGCUAAUACCGGAUAGGAGCUCCUCCUGCAGGGUGGGGGUUGGAAAGUUUCGGCGGUUGGGGAUGGACUCGCGGCUUAUCAGCUUGUUGGUGGGGUAGUGGCUUACCAAGGCUUUGACGGGUAGCCGGCCUGAGAGGGUGACCGGCCACAUUGGGACUGAGAUACGGCCCAGACUCCUACGGGAGGCAGCAGUGGGGAAUAUUGCACAAUGGGCGGAAGCCUGAUGCAGCAACGCCGCGUGCGGGAUGACGGCCUUCGGGUUGUAAACCGCUUUCGCCUGUGACGAAGCGUGAGUGACGGUAAUGGGUAAAGAAGCACCGGCUAACUACGUG
rnacentral:rRNA from 1 species